ensembl:snRNA U6 U6 spliceosomal RNA
AUUAGCAACGAAUCCAAUAUACGCAAAAUUCAGAAUGACACAGUGAAGAUUUAGCAUGACCUCCGCACAACGAUGGAACGUAAAUCUGUGAAACAUUCCAUAUUUUA